UACGGGGGGUGCGAGCGUUGUCCGGAUUUACUGGGCGUAAAGGAUGCGUAGGCGGACAUUUAAGUCAGAUGUGAAAUACCCGAGCUUAACUUGGGUGCUGCAUUUGAAACUGGGUGUCUAGAGUGCAGGAGAGGUAAGUGGAAUUCCUAGUGUAGCGGUGAAAUGACGUAGAGAUUAGGAAGAACACCAGUGGCGAAGGCGACUUACUGGACUGUAACUGACGCUGAGGCAUGAAAGCGUGGGGAGCAAACAGG
rnacentral:rRNA from 1 species